GCCCUUAGAGUUUGAUCCUGGCUCAGGACGAACGCUGGCGGCGUGCUUCACACAUGCAAGUCGAACGGGGCUCAACCGGUGGCAACAUCGGUGAAGGCCUAGUGGCGAACGGGUGAGUAACACGUGAGGAACCUGCCCCGAAGACCGGGAUAACAGCGGGAAACCGCUGCUAAUACCGGAUGACCCCAGUUGGUCGCAUGACCGGCUGAGGAAAUGGGCCUACCGCUUCGGGAGGGUCUCGCGGCCUAUCAGCUUGUUGGUGGGGUAAUGGCCUACCAAGGCAACGACGGGUAGCUGGUCUGAGAGGACGAUCAGCCACACUGGGACUGAGACACGGCCCAGACUCCUACGGGAGGCAGCAGUGGGGAAUCUUGCGCAAUGGGCGAAAGCCUGACGCAGCAACGCCGCGUGAGGGAUGAAGGUCUUCGGGUUGUAAACCUCUUUCGAGCAGGGACGAUAGUGACGGUACCUGCAGAAGAAGCUCCGGCCAACUACGUGCCAGCAGCCGCGGUGAUACGUAGGGAGCGAGCGUUGUCCGGAUUCAUUGGGCGUAAAGAGCUCGUAGGCGGCUCAGUAAGUCAGAUGUGAAACCCUAAGGCUCAACCUGAGGUCGCCAUCUGAUACUGCUGUGGCUAGAGCCCGGUAGGGGUACACGGAAUUCCUGGUGUAGCGGUGAAAUGCGCAGAUAUCAGGAGGAACACCAGUGGCGAAGGCGGUGUACUGGGCCGGUGCUGACGCUGAGGAGCGAAAGCGUGGGGAGCGAACAGGAUUAGAUACCCUGGUAGUCCACGCCGUAAACGUUGGGCACUAGGUGUGGGACCUUGUCAACGGGUUCCGUGCCGUAGCUAACGCAUUAAGUGCCCCGCCUGGGGAGUACGGCCGCAAGGCUAAAACUCAAAUGAAUUGACGGGGAAGGGC
rnacentral:rRNA from 1 species